rnacentral:rRNA from 1 species
GACGAACGCUGGCGGCGUGCCUAAUACAUGCAAGUUGAGCGCUGAAGGUUGGUACUUGUACCAACUGGAUGAGCAGCGAACGGGUGAGUAACGCGUGGGGAAUCUGCCUUUGAGCGGGGGACAACAUUUGGAAACGAAUGCUAAUACCGCAUAAAAACUUUAAACACAAGUUUUAAGUUUGAAAGAUGCAAUUGCAUCACUCAAAGAUGAUCCCGCGUUGUAUUAGCUAGUUGGUGAGGUAAAGGCUCACCAAGGCGAUGAUACAUAGCCGACCUGAGAGGGUGAUAGGCCACAUUGGGACUGAGACACGGCCAAAACUCCUACGGGAGGCAGCAGUAGGGAAUCUUCGGCAAUGGACGAAAGUCUGACCGAGCAACGCCGCGUGAGUGAAGAAGGGUUUCGGAUCGUAAAACUCUGUUGGUAGAGAAGAACGUUGGUGAGAGUGGAAAGCUCAUCAAGUGACGGUAACUACCCAGAAAGGGACGGCUAACUACGUG